rnacentral:rRNA from 1 species
UACAGAGGGUGCGAACGUUGCUCGGAAUUACUGGGCGUAAAGGGCGCGUAGGCGGUCCUGUAAGUGGUGUGUGAAAUCCGAUGGCUCAACCAUCGAGCUGCGCUCCAUACUGCAGGACUUGAGUACAGCAGAGGAAAGUGGAAUUCCCGGUGUAGCGGUGAAAUGCGCAGAUAUCGGGAGGAACACCUAUGGCGAAGGCAGCUCGCUGGGACGUUACUGACGCUGAGACGCGAAAGCGUGGGGAGCAAACAGG